ensembl:lncRNA
ACGACAGCUUCACUAUACAGAAUGUGUGUAAGGAGAAAGCUAACUUCCUGGAGAAGGCCAGACAGAGGAACGAGAAGAACAAACUGGAUGUGGAGCGCUGUGAAGAAGAGACACUUGGACAGGAUCCAGAUGCUAGAGAAGAAGAAACCCUGGGCAACUGCUGGUAUCAAGCAUGCAUCUAAGCAGAAACACGAUCAGCUUGAACUGAGGAAUAAAGAGACAGGACCUGAGUCUGAGGCAGACACAUGCAGCUCAUGAUCAAAGACCUGCAGAAGGAGGACGUCACGCCUCAGACCGAGACUGUUAACACAGCGCUGAAGAACAUCCAGGAAGAAAAAGCCAAACUGGAGGGUGAGAGUUUGGACCUGCGCAGAGACAAAGACGAAGCCUCUGGCCAAGUACUCCGUAAUGUUUAAGAUGACUUUAGUAGCAGAAAAAUAUACAAAUGCAAUAUUUGUUAUUUUGACUGAACUCAGGAC